CUUUGAUUUAAAUAAAAUGCUCAAAUACUAUUUUAGUGUUUAGCUGAAAAUGAAUAAAAUCCAGAAUUGGCAAUUAUUUUUUUAAGAACUGAAACAGGAAGUGAGCUCUUACACAAAUGUAGUCCAACUUCAUUCAAUAGCGUUUCAUUCUCACAGUGCAUCAGAGUGGAGUCUGUGGGGGACUGAAGGAGUGGGUUCUACAGCUGUUCUCUAGACUAAAUGAAAAUGCUGCUGAUCUGUGGAGUUCUGUUGAUGUUCACAGGAUCUGCUGUGGGUCUGAUUACUGUAGGUCCUCAGUGCAGAUCUGAUCAGACUUGUGUGUUUUAUGAAGCUCUUGAACAUCCAAUGCACCUGCAGCUGCCUUCUGAGUCUGAAUUAACUCUAAAGAAGAUUGAUGAACGUGUUUCUCAGGUCAUUUUGAAAUGUAAAAAACAAAAGAUCCUAAUACACUUAAACUAUCCAAGAUGGCAGUUUGUUUCAGAACACAGAACCAUGAUAAUAACCAGAGCAGAGAAGAACGAUUCAGGAAGAUACAGAUUAGAGACCUUCGAUUCAGAAGGCACUAACAAAGGUGUUUAUGAUUUCCAUCUGACCAUAGAAGCUGUGGUGUCGUCAGUGGAAGUGAAAUACAGCUGCUUGUCCGGCUUAAACAGGCGUUUGUUCUGUUCGUCUGAUGGAGAUCAGAUCCUCAUUGAAUUGCAUCAGUGCCCUGGAUCAUCUUCAACUGUUGGGAUUUCUGCCACAGAAUCUCCAGUAUCUCCAGCAUUUCCAGAGAGCAAAUGCACAAACUGUGAUAGUGGGUUGAUGGUGUUCGUGUCGGUGUGGCUGUUUGAGGUCAUCAUCCUGGUCUCGCUGUUGGUCGGAGCGUUUUACAUCUACACCAGAAUCUACAGGAAGCAGAGAGCAGCUGAGAGUAAGAGCUGUGUGUUUAUUAUAGACUAUAUUAACUGUAGAUCUGACCAAUCAGAAUGUGACCAGCUCUAAUUAACCUGCUUUACACUCACUGGACAUUUUAUUGGAAACACCCACCUUCAGGAACUCGACCUAUUGGUCAGUUUCUGACCACUGGCAUGGAGGUGUUGAUGCUAGUGGAUGUGGUGCUGGCAUGAGUGGAUCAGGCCCAUUGGUCUUACUGUUUAGGCCCAGAGUUGGUCCACCAUCCCAUAAUAUCCAGAUAAGAGCAGCUCUUAGGUCAGGAAGUGACCAUUAGUGUAGAAUUACAGGGUGGUUAACACACUCUGUCCAUCAGCAGAUGAGCUCCGGUCUCUAACUGAACAUUAGCAAGGUGGGGCUUCCAACAGGGGAGGGGUUUCUGAUAAAAU
rnacentral:lncRNA from 1 species